CUCGUUCCCGUGUUCUUCGUGGAGACCACUCCCCGAUCCAAAUACUCGCCGAUUCGGCUUGGAUCUCGUCCCUCUCGCACGGGAACUACUCUAUAAAUAAUCCCCUUGCUCUUUCUGUCGAUUUUUGGCAAAAUCCCUCUCUCAUGUGCCCGUUUCGCCUCGCUCAGAUCUGGCCGGAGCUGCGCUGCCGUAGGAGCUCUCUUCAGUCGAUUCCGUUGACACAGAAGGGAAGCACCGUAGCGAGCGCUAUGAGCCCGCCCUGAAGCUUGAUGCCGGCAACCACUCCUCCAGCCAGACGUCGCCGACACGAGAGAGACCGCACGCUCCAAGUCCGAGCCGCCCACACCCUUCUUCUCCAACUCUGGUGACGCUCCAGCCUCUGUUCUCCGAUUGUCCGGAGUGUGAAGCGGAUCGGAUUUUAAUCGUUAGAGUACUUCAACACCGUUCAAGGCAAGGAUUUUCAGAUGAUCAGUGAGAUACAGUAGGGUCGCGAGUCUUCACUCAGCAUUUUCUCCAGUGGGCAUUGAUGGGACUCGUCGUUUAUUAUGCUACCUUUCCACUAUUAUUAUUGAAUAAGUUAGCCAUGUGCUAUUCAGUUUAUAAUACUUUAUAAAUUCUGGAUCAUACGUUAUAGUAAAUGAUGCACUUGUUAUCUGA